AGUAGACCUGAUUGCACUAGUAUAGGACAGGAGUAGGCGGGAUAGAUGCCAAUUAUAAAACCACAUGGAAGCAGUAGGAUUGACCCCAAUUAAAUCCAUAGUAAAGAAUCAGACAUCGGAGCAGACUCCGUUUGUGGAGAGGAGAGGAAAUAUGUACUUUGAAACCAUAGAAGGAAUCAGCUUGAAAGAGUCUUAGGGGAGAUCAAACUUUUGAUUACGGUUAGCGGUGAAAUUGAAUCUUCGGCUUUGGAGAUAGAGACAGUUGACAGCUCCUGCUAAGCCUCUCCUAGUCGUCAUGUAUUGUUAUCGAGUAGCCUCUCCUGGUCGUUAAGUAUUGUUAUCGAGUUGGCAGUAUACUGAGGGCUAAACAUGUUGUUGGAGCGCUUUAACAUGGCCAUCACACGGAGAUGCGAACAAAGCUCACGAUCAUAGGAGCUAUGAACUUAAGCACUUAGAGCUAAUCGUCUCCUAGUGGUAAGACAAGAAGAAGCUUCAAGGGACGAAGAUGUACACGGCAAACAACCAGGAGCUAAGGCUUCAGCUCAACAACAGACUGCAAAAUAAUUGACCAAGUAUGGAACUCCAGAGCUGCAACUCGAUCAAAUCACCUCCCGAUAGUUGCUGAGUAUCUGAUACCUCCGAACAUCAGGAGAACAACUUUUAGCGAUAAAUGAUACUUUUGAGUCGACUCUUUCAAAAGAUUCAGAUGCUGAAUUCGGUUUUUUCGGUGUUCUCGUUGAAACACGCGGGCAUACUCAUUCCCUCUGGGGACAUUGAUCCAAAGCUCGAGUAAGGUUUGUGCGUCGUUUUUCUUCUCUACUAUGACGAAUCAACAACAUUUAUAUCAUUCAUAGACGGAUAUUCUUGUUUUGGGCACCUAUAUUCAAUCUAUUAAAAGUCUGGGGCUUUAUGAUACGCUCGGAUUUUGCACGGUUUUAAGGCCAUUAUUUGAUCUGUUUUUAAUGUCAAAAUUACAAUUCAUGUCCAUAUUUUGUAUGUUUUAUCUAUUUUGGUAUUUUGACAUGUUUUGUGAGAAAUGUGCAUAUUUGAGCCCAAAAAGAUAGCUAGAAGACGAAGUUGGAAAUCUGAAGAUUGUGGGAGCGUCCAGCGACCGCUGCAACACCGUCGGCCACCACUGGCGCUCAACAACCACUAAGUCAGUAGCGCCCCGCUCCGGGAAAGUUGUGCAUGGAAUGAAGACACGCCCAGCGACUGCUGGGAAGGGCGUGGCGACCGCUACAAAGAGUCUAGAAAGUUACGGGAUGAUAGCCAACGAUCGCUGAAACAAGUGCAGCGACCGCUGCCCAAGAGUCAGAAGCCUCGGACCAACCCACAACGACCAGUGGCCAAGGUGCAGCGGCCCGCUGGGAAAAAGCGGCGAGCAAUUUUUGCCCUACUUUCUCUCCAAGAUUUACGAUAUUUUGCAACCAUUUUCCUUAUUGGAAGAUGUCGAAUUUUCAGCUAUAAAUACCCCCUCAAGCUUUAUUAUUAGGAUCCUCUUUUUGUAACAUAUUUUCUAGAGAUUAAAAGUUAGAGUACUUCAUUGUGCAAGGAGUUGAAGAAAUAUUCAAGAUCAUCAAAGCUACAAGAUUCAACCUUUGGGUUU